UAAUAAAACCCUAGUAUAAAUUUUCUUUUUCAUGUUUAGUCUAUCUCCUUUUUACCUUACUUGCUCAUUCCUGUUGCCGCCCCCAUUUCCCUUCUUUCUCUCAUCUUCUUCAAUUUUCUCCAUUUUUCACUGUUUUGCUAUCCCUAAACCCUGGUUUUACUUCUAUUGUGUCACCCCUUUUUUUCACCAUUGCUGCUAAUUUUUUUUUACUUUCUACUCAUCUCUUUUCUCUCUAUUUUUUUUUUCUUUUGUGGUCGAACCUUUGCUUAAUUUUUGUCCCCAUUUUUGCACCAUUAUUUCCCUCAUCUUUAUUCAUUAUUACCGUUGUCGAAAUCAAAAGUUGCAUUCUGGCUGAAGCUGAGUUGCCCUUUUUUUGGUGGACAUUUGAAUUUUUUGAUCAAUUGUCAUCUUAGAUCUAAAAUUCCGUGGAAGAAUCUGAAAGGAACCGAUCCAGAUCUGAACUAUAGAGGUGCUUUGGACAAUUGAUAAUGCUUUACGGACGUGCAUUGAUGUGUGUGUCCUAAAUAUUUGUGAUCGAUGUGUGUGUGUAUGUGCGUGUAACCCUUAUUAUAUGGUUGAAUGUAUGAAUGGUCACUACAUUAGCCUAAUGUACAUAUGUUUAUUAUGUAUUGGUCAAAUGUAUGGAGGAGCCAUCUAGUAUUUGGCCAAUAUGUGUUUUGUAAGUUUUUUGAAUAUGUAUGCAUGUUUUUUACAGGUUGGCCGAAAAUGUAUGUUUUCUUGUGCUAUGGUUGAAUGUCAAAUAAUUCCCAAGCUUAAGAUAGGAUACAACAUUCAGAGGUCUCGUCUCGAAUUUAUUUAAUAAAGUAUUUUUAAUUUUACUUUAUUUUAUUAUGGUUUUUGGGACUGUAAUUAUGUUAAUUAUGGACUAUGGCAUGGGUUUGUUUUUUUAAGGAUUUUGCAUGCAUGGAACUUUGCUAAA